rnacentral:rRNA from 1 species
CGGUGUGAUCAUACCAGCACUAAAGCACCGGAUCCCAUCAUAACUCCGAAGUUAAGCGUGCCUGGGCGAGAGUAAACCAUGUAGACCACAUCAA